GCAUGUGAGGGCUACCUGACUGUGCUUUCUAUCACCCCAUUGAUCGCCAGGGUUGAUCUGGCUGAUCUGGCUGGCUAGGCGGGGGGCCCCCCUCCACAACUGCAAAUGCAUCCCUCCCUAACCUGCGCACUUGAUGGAAGAGGAAGUCCUUCCCCAAUAGAGGAGAACUGUUCUUCGGUCAAGGUCAAGGGUAUACGAGUAGCUGAGCUCCAUGCUAGAACAUCCAAACAAGCUCUCAAGGUCCAUUUGUAGGAGAACAUAGGGUAAUCAAGCUUCUGAGACUCCAGACACAUCUAAAUGAGGUGUUGCGCGUGGCAGUCUGCCUUUCUUU
ensembl:misc_RNA 7SK 7SK RNA